rnacentral:rRNA from 1 species
CGGCGAUGUCCGAAUGGGGAAACCCAGUGCAAUUCGUUGCACUAUCGUUAACUGAAUACAUAGGUUAACGAGGCGAACCGGGGGAACUGAAACAUCUAAGUACCCCGAGGAAAAGAAAUCAACCGAGAUUCCCCCAGUAGCGGCGAGCGAACGGGGAGCAGCCCAGAGUCUGAAUCAGCUUGUGUGUUAGUGGAACGGUCUGGAAAGUCCGACGGUACAGGGUGAUAGUCCCGUACACCAAAAUGCACAGGCUGUGAACUCGAAGAGUAGGGCGGGACACGUGGUAUCCUGUCUGAAUAUGGGGGGACCAUCCUCCAAGGCUAAAUACUCCUGACUGACCGAUAGUGAACCAGUACCGUGAGGGAAAGGCGAAAAGAACCCCGGCGAGGGGAGUGAAAAAGAACCUGAAACCGUGUACGUACAAGCAGUGGGAGCACCUUCGGGUGUGACUGCGUACCUUUUGUAUAAUGGGUCAGCGACUUAUAUUCUGUAGCAAGGUUAACCGUAUAGGGGAGCCGCAGGGAAACCGAGUCUUAACUGGGCGUUAAGUUGCAGGGUAUAGACCCGAAACCCGGUGAUCUAGCCAUGGGCAGGUUGAAGGUUGGGUAACACUAACUGGAGGACCGAACCGACUAAUGUUGAAAAAUUAGCGGAUGACUUGUGGCUGGGGGUGAAAGGCCAAUCAAACCGGGAGAUAGCUGGUUCUCCCCGAAAGCUAUUUAGGUAGCGCCUCGUGAAUUCAUCUUCGGGGGUAGAGCACUGUUUCGGCUAGGGGGUCAUCCCGACUUACCAACCCGAUGCAAACUACGAAUACCGAAGAAUGUUAUCACGGGAGACACACGGCGGGUGCUAACGUCCGUCGUGAAGAGGGAAACAACCCAGACCGCCAGCUAAGGUCCCAAAGUCAUGGUUAAGUGGGAAACGAUGUGGGAAGGCACAGACAGCCAGGAUGUUGGCUUAGAAGCAGCCAUCAUUUAAAGAAAGCGUAAUAGCUCACUGGUCGAGUCGGCCUGCGCGGAAGAUGUAACGGGGCUAAACCAUGCACCGAAGCUGCGGCAGCGACACUAUGUGUUGUUGGGUAGGGGAGCGUUCUGUAAGCCUGCGAAGGUGUGCUGUGAGGCAUGCUGGAGGUAUCAGAAGUGCGAAUGCUGACAUAAGUAACGAUAAAGCGGGUGAAAAGCCCGCUCGCCGGAAGACCAAGGGUUCCUGUCCAACGUUAAUCGGGGCAGGGUGAGUCGACCCCUAAGGCGAGGCCGAAAGGCGUAGUCGAUGGGAAACAGGUUAAUAUUCCUGUACUUGGUGUUACUGCGAAGGGGGGACGGAGAAGGCUAUGUUAGCCGGGCGACGGUUGUCCCGGUUUAAGCAUGUAGGCUGGUUAUCCAGGCAAAUCCGGAUAAUCAAGGCUGAGGUGUGAUGACGAGGCACUACGGUGCUGAAGUAACAAAUGCCCUGCUUCCAGGAAAAGCCUCUAAGCAUCAGGUAACAUCAAAUCGUACCCCAAACCGACACAGGUGGUCAGGUAGAGAAUACCAAGGCGCUUGAGAGAACUCGGGUGAAGGAACUAGGCAAAAUGGUGCCGUAACUUCGGGAGAAGGCACGCUGGUGUGUAGGUGAAGUCCCUGCGGAUGGAGCUGAGACCAGUCGAAGAUACCAGCUGGCUGCAACUGUUUAUUAAAAACACAGCACUGUGCAAACACGAAAGUGGACGUAUACGGUGUGACGCCUGCCCGGUGCCGGAAGGUUAAUUGAUGGGGUUAUCCGUAAGGAGAAGCUCUUGAUCGAAGCCCCGGUAAACGGCGGCCGUAACUAUAACGGUCCUAAGGUAGCGAAAUUCCUUGUCGGGUAAGUUCCGACCUGCACGAAUGGCGUAAUGAUGGCCAGGCUGUCUCCACCCGAGACUCAGUGAAAUUGAACUCGCUGUGAAGAUGCAGUGUACCCGCGGCAAGACGGAAAGACCCCGUGAACCUUUACUAUAGCUUGACACUGAACAUUGAGCCUUGAUGUGUAGGAUAGGUGGGAGGCUUUGAAGCGUGGACGCCAGUCUGCGUGGAGCCAACCUUGAAAUACCACCCUUUAAUGUUUGAUGUUCUAACGUUGGCCCCUGACCGGGGUUGCGGACAGUGUCUGGUGGGUAGUUUGACUGGGGCGGUCUCCUCCCAAAGCGUAACGGAGGAGCACGAAGGUUAGCUAAUCCUGGUCGGACAUCAGGAGGUUAGUGCAAUGGCAUAAGCUAGCUUGACUGCGAGCGUGACGGCGCGAGCAGGUGCGAAAGCAGGUCAUAGUGAUCCGGUGGUUCUGAAUGGAAGGGCCAUCGCUCAACGGAUAAAAGGUACUCCGGGGAUAACAGGCUGAUACCGCCCAAGAGUUCAUAUCGACGGCGGUGUUUGGCACCUCGAUGUCGGCUCAUCACAUCCUGGGGCUGAAGUAGGUCCCAAGGGUAUGGCUGUUCGCCAUUUAAAGUGGUACGCGAGCUGGGUUUAGAACGUCGUGAGACAGUUCGGUCCCUAUCUGCCGUGGGCGCUGGAGAAUUGAGGGGGGCUGCUCCUAGUACGAGAGGACCGGAGUGGACGCAUCACUGGUGUUCGGGUUGUCAUGCCAAUGGCACUGCCCGGUAGCUAAAUGCGGAAGAGAUAAGUGCUGAAAGCAUCUAAGCACGAAACUUGCCCCGAGAUGAGUUCU